rnacentral:sRNA from 1 species
AAAACCCAACUGAUGUCUGAUGGUACCAGCAGGUUUACCUGCAAGGGAAAAUCAAUAUAUCACUUUGGUAAUACCAGCACCUUCUGUGAAUACACAGUGAUAAAGGAAAUCUCAGUUGCCAAGAUUGAUGCAGUCGCUCCUCUAGAGAAAGUAUGCCUAAUUAGCUGUGGCUUUUCCACUGGGUUUGGUGCUGCAAUCAAUACUGCCAAGGUGACUCCAGGUUCUACCUGUGCUGUGUUUGGCCUGGGAGGAGUCGGCUUGUCUGUUGUCAUGGGUUGUAAAGCAGCAGGAGCAGCCAGGAUCAUUGGAGUGGAUGUCAACAAGGAGAAAUUUAAGAAGGCACAGGAAUUGGGUGCUACUGAGUGCCUCAACCCUCAGGACUUAAAGAAACCCAUUCAAGAAGUUUUAUUUGAUAUGACAGAUGCUGGUAUAGACUUCUGCUUUGAGGCCAUUGGAAAUCUGGACGUUCUGGUAUGUAAUCCUCUGGAGUGAAAAUUACCAAUACUUUUACCAGUCAUCGUUUAGAUUAUAGUUGAAUGAGCUUUCUAAAAUUCCCUCCACUUUGCUCUAUUUAAUUUUCCUUGUGUUCCAUGACAUCUCAGCUGGUGCCGUCUGUGUACUCUUACAAAUUUGUUCACUAUCCCAGAUACUAAAUCUAGAACUUUCAUAUAAUUUCAAAGCCAGAAGUUUUAAGCAAGAUAAGGUUAAAAUUUGAUUAAUGACCUUAUAAA